rnacentral:rRNA from 1 species
CUCUUGGGUUGUAAACCUCUUUUCUCAGGGAAGAAUUCUUGACGGUACCUGAGGAAUAAGCAUCGGCUAACUCCGUGCCAGCAGCCGCGGUAAUACGGAGGAUGCAAGCGUUAUCCGGAAUGAUUGGGCGUAAAGCGUUCGCAGGUGGUUAAUCAAGUCUGCUGUUAAAGCGUCUGGCUUAACCAGAUAAAGGCAGUGGAAACUGAUGGACUAGAGUGCGGUAGGGGCAGAGGGAAUUCCUGGUGUAGCGGUGAAAUGCGUAGAGAUCAGGAAGAACACCGGUGGCGAAAGCGCUCUGCUGGACCGCAACUGACACUGAGGGACGAAAGCUAGGGGAGCGAAUGGGAUUAGAUACCCCAGUAGUCCUAGCCGUAAACGAUGGAUACUAGGCGUUGCCCGUAUCGACCCGGGCAGUGUCGUAGCCAACGCGUUAAGUAUCCCGCCUGGGGAGUACGCACGCAAGUGUGAAACUCAAAGGAAUUGACGGGGGCCCGCACAAGCGGUGGAGUAUGUGGUUUAAUUCGAUGCAACGCGAAGAACCUUACCAGGGUUUGACAUGUCCGGAAUCUCUUGGAAACGAGAGAGUGCCUUCGGGAGCCGGAACACAGGUGGUGCAUGGCUGUCGUCAGCUCGUGUCGUGAGAUGUUGGGUUAAGUCCCGCAACGAGCGCAACCCUCGUUCUUAGUUGCCAGCAGUUAGGCUGGGCACUCUAAGGAGACUGCCGGUGACAAACCGGAGGAAGGUGGGGAUGACGUCAAGUCAGCAUGCCCCUUACGCCCUGGGCUACACACGUACUACAAUGCUGUGGACAAAGGGCAGCAAGCUAGCGAUAGCAAGCAAAUCCCACAAACCACGGCUCAGUUCAGAUCGCAGGCUGCAACUCGCCUGCGUGAAGGAGGAAUCGCUAGUAAUUGCAGGUCAGCAUACUGCAGUGAAUUCGUUCCCGGGCCUUGUACACACCGCCCGUCACACCAUGGAAGCUGGUCACGCCCGAAGUCGUUACCCUAACCAUUCUUUGGAGGGGGACGCCGAAGGUAGGACUGGUGACUGGGGUGAAGUCGUAACAAGGUAGCCGUACCGGAAGGUGUGGCUGGAUCACCUCCUUUU